rnacentral:piRNA from 1 species
UGAGAAAUAGAAUUAAGAAGGUGUGUAGAA